rnacentral:rRNA from 1 species
GACGGAGGGUGCAAGCGUUGUUCGGAUUGACUGGGCGUAAAGGGCGUGUAGGCGGUUGGCCAAGUCUGAUGUGAAAGCCCGAGGCUCAGCCUCGGAAGUGCGUCGGAAACUAGUCGGCUGGAGCGCGAUAGAGGAGGGUGGAAUUCCUGGUGUAGCGGUGAAAUGCGCAGAUAUCAGGAGGAACACCAAUGGCGAAGGCAGCACUCUGGGACGUGACUGACGCUGAGACGCGAAAGCGUGGGGAGCAAACAGG